rnacentral:rRNA from 1 species
UAGGGAAUCUUCCGCAAUGGGCGAAAGCUUGACGGAGCAACGCCGCGUGAGUGAUGAAGGUCUUCGGAUCGUAAAACUCUGUUAUUAGGGAAGAACAAAUGUGUAAGUAACUAUGCACGUCUUGACGGUACCUAAUCAGAAAGCCACGGCUAACUACGUGCCAGCAGCCGCGGUAAUACGUAGGUGGCAAGCGUUAUCCGGAAUUAUUGGGCGUAAAGCGCGCGUAGGCGGUUUUUUAAGUCUGAUGUGAAAGCCCGCGGCUCAACCGUGGAGGGUCAUUGGAAACUGGAAAACUUGAGUGCAGAAGAGGAAAGUGGAAUUCCAUGUGUAGCGGUGAAAUGCGCAGAGAUAUGGGGGAACACCAGUGGCGAAGGCGACUUUCUGGUCUGUAACUGACGCUGAUGUGCGAAAGCGUGGGGAUCAAACAGG